rnacentral:rRNA from 1 species
UACGUAGGGGGCGAGCGUUGUCCGGAUUCAUUGGGCGUAAAGCGCGCGUAGGCGGCUCCGCAAGUCGGCCGUGAAAUCUCCAGGCUCAACUUGGAGGGGUCGGGCGAGACUGCGGAGCUCGAGGUGGGCAGAGGGCAGUGGAAUUCCGGGUGUAGUGGUGGAAUGCGUAGAGAUCCGGAGGAACACCAGUGGCGAAGGCGGCUGCCUGGGCCUGGCCUGACGCUGAGGCGCGAAAGCUAGGGGAGCAAACGGG